rnacentral:rRNA from 1 species
AGUGAACGAUGGCGGGAGGAAGAACAAAGGAAAGUCGAAAUGCAGCACAGUAAGAGCGGUAGAGUAAGUGUGGCGAGUGGCGGACGGGUGAGGAAUACAUCGGAAUCUACUUUUUCGUGGGGGAUAACGGACGGAAACUUACGCUAAUCACGCAUACGACCUACGGGUGAAAGCAGGGGAUCUUCGGACCUUGCGCGAUUGAAUGAGCCGAUGUCGGAUUAGCUAGUUGGCGGGGUAAAGGCCCACCAAGGCGAGGAGCGGUAGCUGGUCUGAGAGGAUGCUCAGCCACACAGGAACUGAGACACGGUCCAGACUCCUACGGGAGGCAGCAGUGGGGAAUAUUGGACAAUGGGCGCAAGCCUGAUCCAGCCAUACCGCGUGGGUGAAGAAGGCCUUCGGGUGUGAACUCCCUGUUUUUGCGAAGGAAAAGCAGACGGGUAAUACCCACCUGUUCUGACGGUACCCAAAGAAUAAGCACCGGCUACCUUCGUC